rnacentral:lncRNA from 1 species
GCGGCCGAAGAUUUCUCUUUGUGGCUUCCCUCAAGUUGUCAAGACGUCGUACGCAAUGAGAGGCGACAGGGGGCGGGGCCGGGGGGGCCGGUUUGGAGCCCGCGGAGGGCUGGCGCAGGGGUGAGUAGCUGCUGGUGGGGGGGACGUGCUUACUGUACCUGUGCAAGCAGUCGGACACCCCGUCGGUGGCAGACUGAUCCACUCCGGGUUUUACAGUGUUGUUAAUCAGACUCCUGGCAUCCAGCAGUGCGCUCCAGUCUGGGGGCUAACAGUGUAGUUAAUCACACCACAGUGCGCUGCAGUCCGGGGGUUAACAGUGUAGUUAAUCACACCACAGUGUGCUGCAGUCCGGGGGUUAACAGUGUAGUUAAUCACACCACAGUGCGCUGCAGUCUGGGGUUAACAGUGUAGUUAAUCACACCACAGUGCGCUGCAGUCUGGGGUUAACAGUGUAGUUAAU